AGAGAGAGAGAGAGAGAGAGAGAGCGAGCGAGCAAGCGAGUCGAAAAUGGCGAUAUCGGGAGAUCUCAGGGUCUCUGCAACACUGGCCUCUUACAACAAGCACCCUCUUCGAAGCUCUUUGCCUACUUCAAAUUCAAAGGUAGAGUUCAUCGGUUUCCCUGGUCGAGGAUCUGGAACAACCCCAAACACACACAAGUGGCCUGG
rnacentral:misc_RNA from 1 species